UACGUAGGGUGCGAGCGUUGUCCGGAAUUAUUGGGCGUAAAGGGCUCGUAGGCGGUCUGUUGCGUCAGGAGUGAAAACUCGGGGCUUAACCCCGAGCCUGCUUCUGAUACGGGCAGACUAGAGGUAUGCAGGGGAGAACGGAAUUCCUGGUGUAGCGGUGAAAUGCGCAGAUAUCAGGGAGAACGACCGGUAGGCGUAAGGCGGGUUCUCUGGGCAGUUAACUGACGCUGGAGGACGAAAGCCAUGGGGACGCGAACAGGA
rnacentral:rRNA from 1 species